rnacentral:lncRNA from 1 species
GAGGCAAAUUGAAGGCACCCUCUUCCUUAUUUCUGUUACUCCUUAGUGCCCACCUCCGGUCUGCUGCCGACGCCCAGCAUGGGUGUCUACAGUUCGCACCGGGUGGUAAAGGAGAAGUAGCUUUGUACAGAGCCUUGCUCAGAGUACUCUGCCUGAUCCAGCUUGAGAAAAUUUGAGUCCAGAUCACCUUCUGCGGGGAAGAGUGGUUAGAAGUUAAUCCGAGCAGUCCCUGGCCUAGCUCUGUGUCCUAACUUCCAGCUAGCGUAUCCUGGGGCAAGACUUCUGAAGUCUGGGAUGUUUGCCCUGCUAACUGGAUGCAUGUGGAGCUGAGAGGAGCACUGAAUUGUAUAGAGGAUUUGAGAGGUGUCACUGGAGUGGCCUCCUGGGAAAGCUGACCAUUGAGCAUCCUGGUUUCUCCCCGGAAGUCUCA